rnacentral:rRNA from 1 species
AGAGUUUGAUCCUGGCUCAGGAUGAACGUUGGUAGUAUGCCUAACACAUGCAAGUCGAGCGGAAAGUAGUAGCAAUAUUACUUUUAGCGGCGAACGGGUGAGUAAUGCUUAUCUUACCUGCCAUUUAGUGGGGGAUAAAAUUCCGCAUAUUAUGAGUAAUCAUGAAAGGGCUUUCGGGCUCGCUAAUUGAUGGGGAUAAGUCGUAUUAGUUAGUUGGUGGGGUAAUGGCCUACCAAGACAAUGAUGCGUAGCCAGUCUGAGAGGAUGAAUGGCCACAAAGGAACUGAGACACGGUCCUUACUCCUAUUGAGGAGGCAGCAGUGGGGAAUAUUCUGCAAUGGGGGAAACCCUGACAGAGCAAUACUACGUGAAGGAGGAAGGUCUACGGAUUGUAAACUUCUUUACUUAAAUGUACUAGCCGCAAGGUUUUGCAUUUGAGCAAAAAGCGACGACUAACUAUGUGCCAGCAGUCGCGGUAAGACAUAGGUCGCGAACGUUAUCCGGAAUUAUUGGGCGUAAAGGAUGCGUAGAUGGUUCAGUAAGUUACUGGUGGGAAAUCGAGGCCUAACCUCGUGGAAGUCAGUAAUACUGUUGAACUUGAGUGCAGGAGAGGUUAACGGAACUUCAUGUGGAGCGGUAAAAUGCGUAGAUAUAUGAAAGGACAUCAAUAUGGCGAAGGCAGUUAACUAUUCUGCUACUGACAUUAAGGCAUGAAAGCGUGGGGAGCAAAACGGAUUAGAUACCCGUGUAGUCCACGCCCUAAACGAUGAGUGCUAGAUAUUGGGAACUUGAUUCUCAGUGUCGCUAGGUAACCCGGUAAGCACUCCGCCUGGGGAGUACGCUCGCAAGAGUGAAACUCAAAGGAAUUGACGG